UACAGGGGGUGCAAACGUUGCUCGGAAUCAUUGGGCGUAGAGCGCACGUAGGCGGUUCGUUAUGUCGGAUGUGAAAGCCCUUGGCUUAACCGAGGAAGUGCAUCCGAAACUGGCGAGCUGGAGUACGAAAGAGGAUCGCGGAAUUCCCGGUGUAGAGGUGAAAUUCGUAGAUAUCGGGAGGAACACCGGUGGCGAAGGCGGCGAUCUGGGUCGAUACUGACGCUGAGGUGCGAAAGCGUGGGGAGCAAACAGG
rnacentral:rRNA from 1 species